AGCACAUUAUAUGGAGUAAUAGGAGUGUUAUACGGAGCACAUUAUAUGGAGUAAUAGGAGUGUUAUACGGAGCACAUUAUAUGGAGUAAUAGGAGUGUUAUACGGAGUAAUAGCAGUGUUAUACGGAGCACAUUAUAUGGAGUAAUGGCAGUGUUAUACGGAGCACAUUAUAUGGAGUAAUAGGAGUGUUGUUAUACGGAGUAAUAGCAGUGUUAAACGGAGCACAUUAUAUGGAGUAAUAGGAGUGUUAUACGGAGCACAUUAUAUGGAGUAAUAGGAGUGUUACACGGAGCACAUUAUAUGGAGUAAUAGCAGUGUUAUACGGAGCACAUUAUAUGGAGUAAUAGGAGUGUUAUACGGAGCACAUUAUAUGGAGUAAUAGGAGUGUUAUACGGAGCACAUUAUAUGGAGUAAUAGGAGUGUUAUACGGAGCACAUUAUAUGGGGUAAUAGGAGUGUUAUACGGAGCACAUUAUAUGGAGUAAUAGCAGUGUUAUACGGAGCACAUUAUAUGGAGUAAUAGGAUGUAUUGUAUCAAUUGCAUUUUAAUAUUGUGGUCUCUGAGGAAGUCCCUAUGUUGUUAAAGGGACGAAACGCGUAGGACCUUAUUUAUAUUCAUUUUAUUUUUAUUUUUUUAAUAUUGAAUUAAAGCCGCUUUUUCAAAACUUCACCCGGAGUCCUGUGUUGGAGUAAAAAUAUCCAGGGGAUCUCCCAGGCCCCCCAUAUUUUCAGGGGAGUAAUAGGAGUGUUAUAUGGAGCACAUUAUAUGGAGUAAUAGGAGUGUUACACGGAGCACAUUAUAUGGAGUAAUAGGAGUGUUAUACGGAGCACAUUAUACGGAGUAAUAGGAGUGUUAUACGG
rnacentral:lncRNA from 1 species